rnacentral:rRNA from 1 species
AUGCCGAAAAGUACAAUGAAGUUAAGAAGCUUCUCUGUUCUCUGGGAGCGUCGCUUCUUCGAGUUAAUUUUUCUUUUCUGGAGAGAUGGGGCAAGGAGGAGCCUCUUGCAUAUACUUGACUCACCAGCUUCAUAUGGUUUAAUUUCUGAUUACAUAGGUGCAAAUCUUCGACCAACAAAUAGAAAACUGACUCAUGGAUAUCUUGGGAGGACAGCCAUACUUCUGCUCCAUGCAGCACGAUUGGAUGAUGCACUAAUUUCAAGGCUGCUACAGUACCUAGGCAAUGAUUCUGAGUGGGCAAAUUUUUAUGGAUCUUUGAAGAGUUUUCUUGAUACUGGUGUUGAUACCUCUUUGAUCUCGAACUUCAGGCUUGCUCUUGACUUUACCUUCAAUGGUGUGAUAUGGAGGGAGGAACUGGACUACAUAUCCCCAAUAUGCUAUGUGGGUCUGAUGGAGUGCCUUGGUUUUUUGUCUUCAGCACACCUGCUACAGAAAGGUUGUGGUGUGUACUGCACGAAAUCUCAGUUGGUCAAUAUGCUGGAGUGCCGCACCAGCAAGGUUUACCUUGAAACCUGCCUGGCAUCUACUUCAAGACCAGAUUACGAUAUUUUACAGACGAUAUUCGAAUCAGGCCGUUUCAUAUUUCAGACAAUUAUGAAUAUCUUGACAGAUAAGAAAAUGCUUCUGGAGUGGGUCCGGAGGACUUCAACUCCUAGUAGUUCAUACACUGAAGUCCUCCUGAGACUAGUGGUCAUACUUUAUCCACUGAUCCUAACUCAUGACGUGGGGAUUUCCUAUUAUAAGAUCACAAAUACUCUUCUGGACUGUAGAGUCUUCGAGGAUUUACCUCGGGAGUUCUCUCAGAAGAUCUUACGUGCUUUGCAAAUGAGGCCUCGUGCACCAAGCAACUUAAUAAGAGUGGUUCCUGACGCACUUGCUGCAAUAGGAGAUCGUAUGGUCGUUAUGGGUUCGUCCAAAGGCCCAGCAAUCUGUGAGAACAUAAAUGUUGUUAUGAUUAGCAAGGAGGAUUUGUAUGAUGUUCCGAAGAUAAUGGCUAUUCUUUGCCCUGAAGAGGGAAGUUCUGUAAAGCAAGAGGCUGCACUGCCAGAAAAAUCGGAUGGUAACAAACUGUGUAAUGUUGCUGGAAACGUUCCUAAGGCUGUACAUGAUACCAAGGUGGAGAGCACUGGAGAGAUGGAUUUAAGUGGUGAGACUACUGCCUUCUGGGAGAUGGUUGAGACUUUUCAGGUCAACAAGGAAGGUCAGAAAGAUGCAAGGUCUAUUAUUCAGUUCCUUAGGAGCGCCAUUCCAUGGCUGACUGAUGCACUACUGCAAGAAGAGGUCAGGCACAUCUGCAGCGAAUUCGAAGAACGUUCUGCCAGGACGGAGAAGACAGCUUGUCAGACUGUGGAGGAUCUGUACUCAAUGUGGCAAGAUGGCGAGAGCAAACUGCAGACGGUCAUCAGCUUCCUGCGUUCCGCAAGGGCGUCCGCGAAAGAAGAUGGCAGAAGGAAUGAAGCCGCAGCCGCCAUCCAGCCGCAGACUGACGGGGCAGACGGACAGGCCGGAUGUUCGGGCAAGGAGGCGGAAUCGGUGAAGGAAGAAGCGGUCACACAAAAGGGCGCUCAGAAGAAGAACAAGAAGAAACCUAGGAAAUCCAAAGGCCGUGGCAAGAAGUGA